rnacentral:misc_RNA from 1 species
GAUGAAAGAACGUAGCGAAAUGCGAUAGCUAGUGUGAAUUGCAGAUUUCCGUGAAUCAUCGAGUCUUUGAACGCACAUUGCGCCCUUUGGUAUUCCGAAGGGCAUGCCUAUUCGAGCGUCGUUGCACCCCUCAAGCCCCGCUUGGUCUUGGCGGAGGCCCCGCCCCGCGCGGAGCCCCGCUCAAACGCAACCCGACGUGCCUCAAAUGGUCUGGAGCGCAGCAACAUGUUGCUCUGCCCGGCGCGCUGGUGGCUCCUCUGGAGCGCCUUCUACGCUUGACCUCGAAUUAGGUAAGGAUACCCGCUGAACUUAAGCAUAUCAAUAAGCGGAGGA